CCUACGGGGGUCAGCAGUGAGGAAUAUUGGUCAAUGGACGAGAGUCUGAACCAGCCAAGUAGCGUGAAGGAUGACUGCCCUAUGGGUUGUAAACUUCUUUUAUAUGGGAAUAAAAUGUUCCACGUGUGGGAUUUUGUAUGUACCAUAUGAAUAAGGAUCGGCUAACUCCGUGCCAGCAGCCGCGGUAAUACGGAGGAUGCGAGCGUUAUCCGGAUUUAUUGGGUUUAAAGGGGGCGUAGGUGGGUUGUUAAGUCAGUUGUGAAAGUUUGCGGCUCAACCGUAAAAUUGCAGUUGAAACUGGCAGUCUUGAGUACAGUAGAGGUGGGCGGAAUUCGUGGUGUAGCGGUGAAAUGCUUAGAUAUCACGAAGAACUCCGAUUGCGAAGGCAGUUCACUGGACUGCAACUGACACUGAGGCUCGAGAGUGUGGGUAUCAAACAGGAUUAGAUACCCGAGUAGUC
rnacentral:rRNA from 1 species